rnacentral:rRNA from 1 species
AGCGGGAAGUAGUUUACUACUUUGCCGGCGAGCGGCGGACGGGUGAGUAAUGUCUGGGAAACUGCCUGAUGGAGGGGGAUAACUACUGGAAACGGUAGCUAAUACCGCAUAACGUCUUCGGACCAAAGUGGGGGACCUUAGGGCCUCACGCCAUCGGAUGUGCCCAGAUGGGAUUAGCUAGUAGGUGGGGUAAUGGCUCACCUAGGCGACGAUCCCUAGCUGGUCUGAGAGGAUGACCAGCCACACUGGAACUGAGACACGGUCCAGACUCCUACGGGAGGCAGCAGUGGGGAAUAUUGCACAAUGGGCGCAAGCCUGAUGCAGCCAUGCCGCGUGUGUGAAGAAGGCCUUCGGGUUGUAAAGCACUUUCAGCGAGGAGGAAGGCCAAUAACUUAAUACGUUGUUGGAUUGACGUUACUCGCAGAAGAAGCACCGGCUAACUCCGUGCCAGCAGCCGCGGUAAUACGGGGGGUGCAAGCGUUAAUCGGAAUUACUGGGCGUAAAGCGCACGCAGGCGGUUUGUUAAGUCAGAUGUGAAAUCCCCGCGCUUAACGUGGGAACUGCAUUUGAAACUGGCAAGCUAGAGUCUUGUAGAGGGGGGUAGAAUUCCAGGUGUAGCGGUGAAAUGCGUAGAGAUCUGGAGGAAUACCGGUGGCGAAGGCGGCCCCCUGGACAAAGACUGACGCUCAGGUGCGAAAGCGUGGGGAGCAAACA